rnacentral:rRNA from 1 species
UGGGGAAUAUUGCACAAUGGGCGCAAGCCUGAUGCAGCCAUGCCGCGUGUAUGAAGAAGGCCUUCGGGUUGUAAAGUACUUUCAGUCGGGAGGAAGGUGGUAAGGUUAAUAACCUUAUCAAUUGACGUUACCGACAGAAGAAGCACCGGCUAACUCCGUGCCAGCAGCCGCGUUAAUACGGAGGGUGCAAGCGUUAAUCGGAAUUACUGGGCGUAAAGCGCACGCAGGCGGUUGAUUGAGUCAGAUGUGAAAUCCCCGGGCUUACCCCGGGAAUUGCCUCUGAUACUGGUCAGCUAGAGUCUUGUAGAGUGGGGUAGAAUUCCAUGUGUAGCGGUGAAAUGCGUAGAGAUGUGGAGGAAUCCCGGUGGCGAAGGCGGCCCCCUGGACAAAGACUGACGCUCAGGUGCGAAAGCGUGGGGAGCAAACAGG